AGCCUCAUUCACAGCAACCAUGAGGUAAGGAUUUCUUUGCUUUUUGGCCAUUAUAUUUAAGUGUUAAUACUAUCUCAGCAAGUUAGUUCUCUGAGAUCAAGCUUUCUAAUUUUUCUGUUUGAUUAUCCACUCAUAAUGUGUGUGUGUGUGUGUGUGUGUGUGUGUGUGUACACACAUGCAAGGACAUUUAUAGCCACAGCUAAGCUGUUGUAUUAGUGUAGGCAUUUUCAUUUCUGUUGAACUUAUGUAGCUACAUUCAUGCAAUUCCUGAAGCAGACUAGGACAGAGGAAAAGAGUUUUGCAAGAAGAGAGAAAAUGAUUCCAGAAUCAGAAAUUCUUUUUCCUCACACUAUUGCCCAUCUAGGGAAAAGAGAUCAGGUUGUCAGGUUAGAGACAUCUCAUUCUCCUCACUCCUCAUUUUGGUGGGAAAGGACCCACACAGUAGUGUGAGGUUCAUGGAGCCUCCCAGAUGUCUGGGGAGAUACUGUGGGGAUGGGGUGAGAAGCUCAUGGCCUUCCUCUGGAGACUCCUCAGUUCACCUUCUGAGGGGCCAGCUCUGAUGAAGCUCUGACUAGACUGAAGGUGAGCAGAUCAUAGUUCCUGUGACCUCCAGUCCCUGCAGGUCCUUGGCAUCCACCUGUCCAUGGGUGUUGGCUGGAGGUCUGUGCUUAAGAACAUUCACAUCUUCCUUACCAGAAAGGCCCAAUGGGAAUUUCUCUAUGGUCCCAACUGAAUCAUGAAUCAAGUAACUCCUGAGAUCAGCAGAUAAAAAAUCAUUAGUUAACAUUAACUUGCAAAUGUCCCCUCAGAGUUCCACUGGGAAAAAAUUGGGAGGGGAAGAAUUUCCAGAAAUCACACAAUCACAGGUCUAUGAUCAACCCUCCUGCAAAAACAGAUUAGUCACUGCCUAAAAUAAUCAAUUAAGCAUAAACAUUGUAAAAAUAGUUAUCACUCCCUGAAUGCUUAUUAAGUGCCAGUCUGGCUUCCAACAGUAUAAUAUAAAUUAUUAUAUUUAAUCUUCAAAAAAAAACCAAUGAGGCAGGUACCUAUAUUAUGACUUUGCAAUAUGGAAUCUUAGAUCUCGAAAUGUAGUGAUUACACAGACAAUAAGAAGUAGAGUUUAGAUAUGAAUAAGUCUGUUUAUUAAACUGUUAAACUGAAGUUUCCCAUAGAAUCACAGUGCGUUUGCAUGACAUCACUUCAGGUGGCACCCUAAUAUGUUGUUACAUUUUGAUGAUUUAACGUUAAUUUCAACCUAUGCUAGGAAAAAAAUUAUAUGUGUCAUAUAUAAUAUUUAAGUUAUAUAAUUUGUAAAAUUUCUAUUUAGGUUAGCAGCAUGAGUCUUUUUAUUAGGAUAAUAUAACAUGUAAGACAAAAUUUGUCAUCUUUAACUUUUCAAACUCUAAAAUUCACUGGUAUUUAGCACCUUCACCAUGCUGUGUGAGCAUCAUCACCAUGAUGACGUAGUUUAAGGACAUCUAAUAACUGUGAGAAGAACCUCGUACACAUUGUCACUUCCUACUCGGCCCUCUCUCAGGCCCCAGCAAACUUUCAUCUGCUUUCUGUGUCUCUGCAUUUGCCUGUUUGGCUCUGUCAUAUGAAUGGACACAUACAAUAUGUGGCUGGAAUGGAUUCUUUCAAUUUUAUGUUGCCUUCAGCCUCCAUUUUGAAGACGAGUUGGCCUUUCUCAUGUGGAAGCUGAGUGAAGUUCCUCUUGACACAGCUCCCGGUUCUUUACUACCUCCCAGCUCCUCAGGGUGACUGAUCCAGACAUCUGCCUUCUGCAAAUUUCUCCUGGUAACCAGUUUUGUGGGACCUCCCUUUGGGACCGGUCAAUAAUUAAUUCCUUAGGAGAUUCAUCCUACUCACCCCUAAGCCCUUCCCAGACUGGGCAGAUAUGCCACAGUAUCCACCUCUCAGUGACACCAUGAUCCCAUAGAACUGGAACCAACUUGCUCUAAGCCCACCAAUUAGAACUCUCUGCAGGAUUCCCACCUGAGUGAUGUCUUGGACCCUAAUAAAGGAUUGGGCCCGUAUGAGAAGAGCCUAGUGAUAUUCUUUAUCUCUUGGUCCCUACCCACUGGUUGAGCAUCAAUGUCCCUGAAGUUCCCUACUUCCUAUUGUCCCUGAAAGGCAUCUUGCCCUCUUUUCUCUGGGAUUUAUAAGUGGUGGACUUCUUCUGUUAUUUCAUUUGUUGUUUGAGUUGCCCUCUUGUGUUUCACCUGGGUAACAAACCUGCAGUUAACUUCUUUCCAGGUCAGAGCUGCCUCAGAGAGUAUAUGCUCAGGUGUGAAUGAAGAGGACAAAGCCAGAAAAACUAUGGAUUUUGCCAGUGUCUACAGAUUUGCUAUAAGGGGGCACCUGGUCAUGGGUCAGAUAUUUAGGCAUUGGACUGUCCACCCAAAUAUAGAUGUACCCUUGGAAGACACACUGCAAACAUCCAUGAACAAAUGCUUGAAGUCUCAUCAGAGCUGGACUAGAGUUUGUAGACACUAUCAUGAGAGCCCUCUCAAACCACUGCCCUCCCACCUACAAAAACAAAACAGGGUACUCACGGUUGGCUUCUUUCAUUUAACCCAAUGUUUUUAAUGUACACAUGUGUUAUAUCAGGUGUGAAUGGUUCAUUGCUUUUCAUGGCUAAAAUUUUUUCAAUUUUGUGGGUAUAUAACUUUUUAUUUAUCCAUUCAUCAAUUAAUGAACUUUUGCAUAGUUUUAACCUUUUGGCUAUCGUGAAUGGUGCUGAGAAUGAAUAUAAAUAUACAAGUGGUGUUUUCAAUUAUUUUGAGCAUAUAUUCUGAUGUGUAAUUCAAUAAAAAAAAUAUAUUCUGUAGUGAAUCAUAUGGCAGUUGUACAUUUAACUUACUGAGGGACUGCCAAACUCUUUUCCGUAACAACUCUACCAUUUUACAUUCUCACCCAGCAAUGUAUGAGUGUUCCAAUUUCUCUACAUCCUCACAAUUCACUGGCUAUGUUCCUCCCCCCCCCCUUUUUU
rnacentral:lncRNA from 1 species